rnacentral:rRNA from 1 species
AUUGAACGCUGGCGGCAGGCUUAACACAUGCAAGUCGAGCGGAGAUGAGGUGCUUGCACCUUAUCUUAGCGGCGGACGGGUGAGUAAUGCUUAGGAAUCUGCCUAUUAGUGGGGGACAACAUUCCGAAAGGAAUGCUAAUACCGCAUACGUCCUACGGGAGAAAGCAGGGGAUCUUCGGACCUUGCGCUAAUAGAUGAGCCUAAGUCGGAUUAGCUAGUUGGUGAGGUAAUGGCUCACCAAGGCGACGGUCCGUAACUGGUCUGAGAGGAUGAUCAGUCACACUGGAACUGAGACACGGUCCAGACUCCUACGGGAGGCAGCAGUGGGGAAUAUUGGACAAUGGGCGAAAGCCUGAUCUAGCCAUGCCGCGUGUGUGAAGAAGGCCUUAUGGUUGUAAAGCACUUUAAGCGAGGAGGAGGCUACUUUAGUUAAUACCUAGAGAUAGUGGACGUUACUCGCAGAAUAAGCACCGGCUAACUCUGUGCCAGCCGCCGCCGUAAUAC